rnacentral:lncRNA from 1 species
AUGGACUUUGAAAAGCAUGGGGAAGGAAGCUUAUUAAAUGAGAAUUUAGAGGAGAAACUGACGGUCUCUUCUGGUGAUUCUGAAGCCAAACCUCUGAUCUUCACAUUUGUCCCCACUGUCAGAAGACUGCCAACCCACUCCCAGUUGGGUGCCACGUCUAAAUACAUUGUUAAAAUUCCUGAGGAACCAAGUGAGGAGACUCCAGAAACUGUAAAUAGGUUUGAUUCCAGUGAGUACUUGACCUUGAAUGUUGGGCACCAACAGGAGAGAGAACAAGGAGCCCUGACUUGUCCUUCAGAGGUUGAGGACAAGGCUUCCCAAGGAAAGGAAUUUAAAGAGAAGAAACCUCAAGGAAUGCAGCAAAGUGACCUCUUCAAAGCGGAAUAUGUCUUUAUCGUGGACUCUGAGGGGGAGGAGGAAGUCCCGGGCAGAAAAGGUGACCAGGGACCCCCGGUGGGGACAGGCCCCCCGGCUGCUCGGCCCUCGUCUCUCGCCAUUUCCUCCAGUCUGGCCUCCGAUGCGGUGCGCCCCAAAACGCGAGCGGCAGGCCUCCAGGCCCCGUCGCAUCCUGAACGGCCUCAGGCCAUGGCUCCCCCGCAAAGACACGGGCAGCAAUACAAGACCAAGUCCAGCUACAAGGCUUUUGCAGCAAUCCCAACAAACACAUUGCUUUUGGAACAGAAGGCACUAGACGAACCAGCCAAGACGGACAGCAUUUCCAAGGACAAGACCUUAGACCCACCUCUGGAGUUGUGUUCCCCUGCACAGCUCAGGCAGCAAACUGAAGAGCUCUGUGCUACCAUUGAUAAGGUCUUACAGGAUUCCUUGUCUAUGCAUUCUUCUGAUUCUCCUUCAAGUUCCCUGCAGACUUUGUUGGGUUCUGACACAAUCAAAAUGCCUACAACUCUUCCAAGAGCAGCUGGUCGAGAAACCAAAUAUGCAAACCUCUCCUCACCAUCUUCUACGGUAUCAGAGAGUCAGCUGACAAAGCCUGGAGUAAUUCGCCCCGUACCGGUAAAAUCCAAAAUAUUACUGAAAAAAGAGGAGGAAGUCUAUGAACCCAAUCCUUUCAGUAAAUACCUGGAGGAUAACAGUGACUUCUUUUCUGAGCAGGAUGUGCCUGUCCCUCCCAAGCCUGUUUCUCUCCAUCCUUUAUAUCAGACUAGACUCCAUCCUACUGCUAAGUCCCUACUGCGACCACAGACCCGCCCGCAUGCUGACUGUCUUACCCCCGGACCUUUCAGUCACUUGUCUUCCUUCUCCCUGAGUGAUGAACAGGAGAAUUCCCACACCUUGUUUAGUCACAACGCAUAUAAUAAGCUGAGUCAUCCAAUGAUGGCUAUUCCGGAACACGAAACCCUUGAUUCCAAAGAGCAAUGA